rnacentral:lncRNA from 1 species
CACUGUCUACAUAAAUCACUAGGUUCAGUAUUUUGUAGAUCAUCAGCAUAUACAAUGUCUACUACAACACUGUCUACAUAAAUCAUUAGGUUCAGUAUCUUGUAGAUCAUCAGCAUAUACAAUAUCUACUACAACACUGUCUACAUAAAUCAUUAGGUUCAGUAUCUUGUAGAUCAUCAGCAUAUACAAUGUCUACUACAACACUGUCUACAUGAAUCAUUAGGUUCACUAUUUUGAAGAUCAUCAGCAUAUAUAAUGUCUACUACAACACUGUCUACAUAAAUCAUUAGGUUCAGCAUCUUGUAGAUCAUCAACAUAUACAAUAUCUACUACAACACUGUCUACAUGAAUCAUUAGGUUCAGUAUCUUGUAGAUCAUCAGCAUAUACAAUGUCUACUACAACACUGUCUACAUAAAUCACUAGGUUCAGUAUUUUGUAGAUCAUCAGCAUAUACAGUGUCUACUACAACACUGUCUACAUGAAUCACUAGGUUCAGUAUCUUGUAGAUCAUCAGUAUAUACAGUGUCUGCUAACUAGGAAACUACAUUAUUAACAACAUUACAAAAAGAUUGUUAAGUGUGCUUGAUAAAGUUAUGUUUUUAAUAGAUCAAUUUGCAGAAUAAACGUUUUCUUUGUUUGAUUCUUCACUUUGUUAUACAUGUUCAUUAUGUAAAAAAGUUUUAUUUCACAAUGUGGGUUGUGUCAUUUGUUAUUGGUUGAACUCUGAGUUUUACUUUCUUUUAUAGGGAUCAUUAGUUUCGUCAUUAGUCUCUGGAUCUUAGAAUGAAUGGAAUAUAGAAGCAACGUUUAUAGGAGCUUGCACUUGGAUCAGAAGAAAACUUGUAUAUUUUUUUCUCUGUCAUGAAAAGCUGAAGUUACAUAAACCUUUCUGGUUUGCACUUGCUACAGUUGAACUUCAAACACUAAUUCAGCAAAAUUUAGAUAUCAAAUGAUAAUAUGUACUUAUACUUUCUGAAGUGAAAAUUCAGUUCCUCAUCAUCAUCAAUAAAAUCUCACCAGUAGAAUUUCUUAGCUUUUAUUUCCAGACAGUUUGUUGGUCAGUAUAUGGCAUCAACCUGAAACCUUGAAAUUUCUUUGUAUAUCUAAAGAGAAUCCUUUCAAGAAAUGUGAGUGGAAAAUAAACCCAUCCAUGUCAUCAGUUAUUUAAGUUAUUUGUUUUAUUGUCUAAAUUGAGUUUUAGAUGUGUGUUGCUUAACAUCCAGAGUCUCUUAAAAACAUCCCAAUGUUUAAAGAUUAUCUAGUUUCAUAUGAAAGUCAUGUUGAUUCUUAAUAAUAAUUGAACUAGAUGUAAAACUUUUCUUCCAUUCUACUGUUUUUAGAAAUAUAUAUAUUUAUUGUAUCAAUCAUAAUGUUAUUGAAGAUGUAAAGAGUAAAAUGUAAGACAAAGAAAUAUCUUUCUUCAGCCCAGCUUGGCUGACAGUUGGUUAUGUAGUAAGUAUAACUGGUGUGUACAUCCACACUUCUUACGUGAAGGGUUAAACGCGUCCAUCUUUCUUCAGCCCAGCUUGGCUGACAGUAAGUUCUGUUGGUAAGUUUAACUGGUGUGUACAUUCACACUUGAUAAGAGAAGUGUUAAACAUGUCCAAUUUUCCUGUUAGGUUUAGAUUAUUAGUUGUUCUAAGCUUUUACUUGCUAUGUUGGUUGGAAAUUGAAUAAUUCUUUAAACAGGAUUUAAAAUUGUUGUUUGUUUCAAUAAACUGAGAUUGUUGUUUAAUAUUAAAAUAAAUGGUACAAGAUCUGAAUUAAACUUAUGAAUGUUGUAUGUGUGCAGUUAUCAUAUAGAAACUUUUGUUAAGAAGACUAACCAUGGUGUGAUAUCCGAUUUUUGUAGUUGUUUUUUUAUGAAAUAAAGAAACAAACUAUUGUUCUAACGUA